rnacentral:rRNA from 1 species
UACGUAGGUGGCAAGCGUUGUCCGGAAUUAUUGGGCGUAAAGGGCGUGUAGGCGGCCAGACAAGUCUGUCUUAAAAGUGCGGGGCUCAACCCCGUGAUGGGAUGGAAACUGUCGGGCUAGAGUGUCGGAGAGGAAAGCGGAAUUCCUAGUGUAGCGGUGAAAUGCGUAGAUAUUAGGAGGAACACCAGUGGCGAAAGCGGCUUUCUGGACGACAACUGACGCUGAGGCGCGAAAGCCAGGGGAGCAAACGGG